rnacentral:lncRNA from 1 species
UCAAUAAUAAUGUAGGCAACAACACAAGUUAGAGGUCUUGAUUAGUGAAUCAAACUCCAACAACUUGCCAUGCCAAAAAGAAGAUGAGAAAUGAUCUUGUAUUGAUUUAGGUUCUUUGCAUGAUUUAGGAAGCAAUUUAUCCUUAAUGCAAAGCCAUUCACUUGAUCCAUGAUCAAGAUGAAUUAGAUUUGAAUCAAGGAAGAUUAAAC